UAAUGAUGGUGAGGGCAAUUUCUGACCAUACUUUUAAAUCUCUCCCAAGAUUGGUAGAGAUUCUCCCUUUCCUUCUGUCUGAAACUCAAAAUCUUGCUUCUUAAAUA
rfam:Capsicum annuum cultivar Zunla-1 chromosome 12, whole genome shotgun sequence